ACAACAUUCGGACCAUCGGUCUACCGAUAUAUCACCCGCUCGGUGGUAAAUCUUCCCGUCGUCGU
rnacentral:pre_miRNA from 1 species